GACGGAGGAUGCAAGUGUUAUCCGGAAUCACUGGGCGUAAAGCGUCUGUAGGUGGUUUAAUAAGUCAACUGUUAAAUCUUGAGGCUCAACCUCAAAAUCGCAGUCGAAACUAUUAGGCUAGAGUAUAGUAGGGGUAAAGGGAAUUUCCAGUGGAGCGGUGAAAUGCGUAGAUAUCGCUUGGAACGCCGACGGUGAAAACAGUCUGCUGGGGGUGUGCUGACGCUGAGACACGAAAGCCAGGGGAGCGAACAGG
rnacentral:rRNA from 1 species